rnacentral:tRNA from 5 species
GGGUCCAUAGCUCAACGGCAGAGCGCCGGGCUCAUAACCUGUUGGUUGCAGGUUCGAAUCCUGCUGGACCCA